CAUCUCUGUCAAAGCCUCUUUCGUUGGCUGUCGAUGUUGGUCCUCUCUGCCCUCCCCCUCCGUCUCCCUCUGCCUCCCUCUGCCUCCUUCGCUUUCUACGGCAUUGCUGGAUCCACAAUCUACUGCCUUAUUCCUCCUCUUUCCACAACUCUCACACUCUUUCUAUCCUCCAGCAUGGUAGACUACACCACACCGCUGUUCAUUCAGAGCAUGUGUGUGAUGAAGAGAGUGAGAGAGUGAGAGAGAGAGAGAGAGAGAGAGAGAGUGAGAGAUAGAGAGAGAGAGGAGGGGAGAAAGAGCGAGAGCGACCAAAGAGAGGGAGAAUCAGCAGGAAGAGAGGGGGUAAGGAAGUGUGGAUAGUGGCAGAAGGCGUAUGUGUGCCAGUACGGUACAGUAUGUAUCGGUACGCGUGUUCUCAUAUCUGUAUCCACGCCAGAAAACUUACUGGCACGUUUUCAGCACGAGACUGUACAGCCGCGCUCGAGCGGAUUCGUUAGGUGAACUUUUACCUGAAAUUAUACUGUACGUCCUUGACCCUAUUACGCAGAUCACUGUCCUAUAAAAAGAUCACGUGCGCUGGGAAGGGAAAAAGAGAGUGCUGCAGGGCGCUCAGGGACAGGGACGCUGGAAUUGUGACACAGUUGAGCUCGUGCGGACCGAUGGAAAACGAGGAACGGAGAAGGAUGAUGCAGAGAGCGGAAGCUGAUAUUAAAAAUGACUCGGCGAGGCAAGGACAAUGAUGGAGGCGGUGAAGCGACGCCAGAAAGGAUGUAGCCAUGUGUGGGGUCCUGGAAAAGUGGGGCUGGGGCGAGAACAGAAGAGCUGAGAGUGCCCUUCAUAGUAUGACCUCCAGAUGGAGUCACCACAGGGGUGGGAGUGUGAUGGAGAGAAAAUGAAAGAGUGCAGGGGGUUGCUGGGAGCUCUCUCCGUGACUGGGACAGAAUGACAUCACAUGAGGCAGCUUUAUGUUUACUGUGUGAGGUGCUAAUGAAAAGAGCACAGCAGUGUUAAUUUACCAGCACACGACUCACAGACAGUUCGACAGACUGGGAGAGAGAGAGUGAGAUUACAACCAUGGCCACCAAAUACAGAUAUUACAGUCUUUCAUAUUUCAUGGGUGUGUGAUCUCAAAUCAAAGGGGCUCGGACAAUAUUUUUGUCCCACCCUGCUCCUCAAGUGAGCAGGCUACACCAUAGAGGACCUCAUUUCUCCAAGCCCCUGACAACAGCCCAGGGUGAUACAUGACACAUUUUAUGUGAACCAUCCUAUGAAAGUAUAUUUCUUAUGACUUAGGGGAUGUUCACAUAAGAAUGUCUUUUUGGAUUUAAAAAUGUGAGACACGGAGGAGUGGAAUAAAAAUAAAAGCAUAGAGACACUGUUUUUAAAAACGGAACCUAUUUUAACUAGACCAUAAGCGCCAUGGUCAAACACGUUUAUGGGCAUGUUCACAUUUUCAGAGAGAAAAUCAUUCCAACAUGGAAAAGCAGCAUAUUGGAAUUAGUGGUCGACCGAUAUAUAUAUCGCUGAUAUAUUGGCUGAGAUUUGCCAUUUUUCAAAUAUUGGCAUUGGACGACAAAUUCUUUUAUUUGGCCGAUAUGCUCGAGGCAGGACUGUUAUUUUGACGGGGUUGAGAAUGGAAGUGCCUACGCACAUCGUUCUGUCUAAUACACAUAGAGGUCUAUCUAAUAAUCAGACAGAACUGUUAAACAAUGGAAUUAAAAUGUAUACAAAAAGCCUUUUAAUGAGUUCUUUAAAAUAAUAAGUAUAAAACAAAGAUUAUAUUACUUUCUUCUUCGCCGUCAGCAUUUAGCAAAUAGGCAUUUAUAUAAACACAUUUGUGAAUGACUAAUGAACAUUUAAAUUCACAAAACAUGCAGGCUUAAUCGAAUCUAGUUAUGAUCUUGUGAAGUAUGCUUUUGUGUCCUGCAUGAUCUUGUGUUUUUUGCCCUCUGUCAUAUUCGUCUAUUUUCACUAUAUUCUGUAUGUAAUAUGACUAUAUUACUAUAUUAUAUAUAUGACUAUAAUAUAAAAUUAUCAUUCCCAAAGCAUGCAAACUAUCCAGAACUAUCCAGAGUGCCCUAUUGGUUACAGUAUUUACUUUCUUUUUAAUUAGAAUUAUACUAUCAGCCAAAAACCCAUAUCGGUCGACCACUAAUUGAAAUGCAAACAUAUUUCAAAUGAAUGCAAUCCAAUUAAUUAAUAUUUAAAAAUAAGAUAAAAUCAUCUUCUUUACAAUUAUUUGUUACCUAAUUUGGAAUUAAUCUUACAUAUAUUUAGUUUUUAUUGCU